CAGGGAGACAACAAAAUGUUUAAUAUUAAUUUUGUCACCUUAGGUCGAUCGGUAUCUCACAUUCUUAAUUUUUUAAGGAUUUUAUUUCCUAAGUUUUUUCUAGGUCACACCCAUUACUUUUCCUGGGCCAUUAGCUCAGGUGGUUAGAGCGCACCCCUGAUAAGGGUGAGGUCCCUGGUUCAAGUCCAGGAUGGCCCAUAUCUCUAUGUUGGGGGUAUAGCUCAGUUGGUAGAGCGCCUGCUUUGCAAGCAGGAUGUCAGCGGUUCGAGUCCGCUUACCUCCACUGAUUACCACCUCUUCCAUAAUAUUUACUUAAGGAAAUGUAUUGAGUAGUGAUCAAAUUCUGAACGAAUCUAGCUUCCUAAUGAAAUCAUUAAGAUGCUGGACUCAUUGAAUUAUUUUCAUUGUUUUCAGAGAACCUUGACAACUGCAUAGAUUAUUUUUAAAGACAAUAAGCAUCUUUAAUGAUGCAGAUUUAUUAUUUGUGCGAAUGCAUUAAUAACAAUUCUAUUAAGCUGAUGCUUCAAUUAUGAAGUUAUU
rnacentral:tRNA from 1 species